CAAGCACAGUAGCACCAGGUAGCACAUACAUGUCAUUACAUUACAAGUCGAAACUUUCAAAAGUUCCUUCAAAACAAAUUAAAACGUUAAAAAACGGAGAUCGGUGGUUUCAGGUGAAGUUUUCACGUACCUGGCCAACUAGGUGCUCGUGACAAUAGAAAUCAAAUUGCCUAAAAUCCAAUAAUAUCCAAGUUCGCAAGAUAUGUCUUCUGAAGCUAAACAAUUUAUGUUGCAAGAUUUUGUAAAUCUUCAAGAUAUUGAUAUCUUCGCCAGAUCCAAUUCUUUGAUGCUAUCUAUUUUGCGGCACAGCAAGAAAAUGCUGCCACUUAAGAUUUUGUGGUAAUCACCACUUAGUUCUAAUUUAGGAGGACAAUGUAAGAUUGAUAGAUUCGAGGUUAAUCUGUCUCCUCUGUUUGGGAAACCGACAAGAGAUUGCUGGAAUUGAAGACUGAUAAUUUGUGAAAGUGUAGACAAAUUAAAAGUGUAUAUCUGGGCUUCCUUCUUUUCUGUGGCCCCGUUUCCCUUCUACUAACCACUAACCAACGCCCGCCGGUGGCCACUCACCCGCUGUGAUAACCAGAAGGAUGAGGAGGGCUCUGGUCAAACGGGGACUUAUAGAAGGCUGAUGAUCUGAGAAAAACUUUUGGAGGGUCAUGAGUCUAAACGGGAAUCGUGCUAUGACUAAUCGCUCCCUAGCAAAACUGGCCUCGUACUCUUCUCUCUUCUUCACCGGCCAGGUUUAUCGUUUAUGUUCCUGUAAUUGCUGUCCGAUGUACCGCGUUGUUGCAGCCUAUGCUGGUGAAAGCUCUUAUUGCAUGAAGUUAAACUGGCUGUUCCUUGGUCCUGCUGUCAUGUUAUGGAAGUUGCAUC